CUUUGAUGGUAAUGAUAAACCAAUUUAUAAAUUGCUCCCUAAAUAUAAAGUUUACUGCUGGGAACUAUAUAAAUCUGUGAUGUUUUUAUAGGCACUUUUCAAUGUUCAGAAAAAAGUUAUUUGGUGCAUUGGUUGAUGUUUCUCUCAUAUUUAAGAUCUAAAUGACAUUUAUCUUAAGUUUCUCUUAUGAAAACUAUAUCAUGAGGAGGUGGAUUGGACCACAAUUUUUUUUUUUUUGGGUUUUGUUUUGUUUUAUCGGUUGUUAUUCAAAAAAUUGACAGUCUAAGGGGAACUUUGUUCCCACUUUUGAGAUUUGCAUUUCAAUUCUCGCAACAUUAUGGAGGUAAUGUGAAAUUGUUUGUCCUUCCCAAUUCACCACAUCCCAGAUGUGAAAGUCAUGGAGUAUAUUACAAUCUUAUCACAUUUUUAACACUGCAACAAAACACUGAUGUGGUGCCAAAAUUUUAACAGCAAUUUAAAAAAAAAAUGCUGCACAUUUUUAAUGUGGCACUUGAUUGCUGUAGAAACAUGGACCCAUCUUUUAUUUUUAUUUUUCAUUAUUCAUUUUGUAUUUGUCCAUCGUCCUCCCUUUCUCUCUAUCUUACUUCUCAUCUACUACUACUCUCUCUCUCUCACACACACAAGUUAAACCUUGUGUAUUGGGGAUGGUAAUGGUGUUGGAUCCGUAGAAAUGAAUCGGAGUUUGAAGGAAUCUCUGAUCGGAGGGAGGUCACAGCACCGGCGAGGUCUCAGUCUCAACGGAAUCUCCAAGGAUACGGACGAGAACUUGGAUCUCUUCUCUAUGAAUAGCCGGAGUCUCUCCGUUGCUUCGUCCGACGAAUCCGACGUUUCAGUGAAAUUGGGGAGGCUUUCAGUUGGAUCAGCGAAACCCUACAAAAUAUAUGACUGCCAGACCGACUUCUUCUUCUACUUCUUCCUCCGAGGACACCAAUUCAUGGGCCGUUCAUGCCUAGUCGCCGCCGGACUGCACUAGUGGCGGUGGCCGGGCAUACGCUUCAUUCUCUCUCCAAGUAUUCGCGAGAUUUCGAAGGCAGGUGAUCGGGAUUAUACCAGCUCGGUACCUCCUCUUGAUUACAAGGCAAACCCCUUGUUUCCAUCCUCGGCAAAGCCCAUGAUUCAGAGAACUUAGGAAAGGGCAAAACUUGCCAGCACAUUGGACCUACUUGAUGUAGGGGUCUCUUUUGUGUUGAGGUUUUGAUUGUACACAUCUAUAACCAAUUGUAAAGAUGAAGGGGUCGGACUAUGCGAUAUGCUGCUUUGGAUUCUUUACGACAGGGUGAUGGUGUUGCAGCUGUGGCUGAUGAUGGAUCAUCAGGCCAAGAUAAGUUCUCUUUUUCCUUUUAAUUUUAAUUUUAUUUAUUGGCUCUGAAUUGUUUAUGGUUUUGUUACAGAGAAAAAAAGAAAAUUUCAAAUUUUUUUUUUUUUUGAUAUAAGGAGAGUUUCAAACUGUCAUUAUUCUUAUUUUUCUGUUUUCAAAUACAUUUCGCGUUUUUUCCAUGAUUAGUAAUGGGAGAGAAAAAAAACCAUCUUCCAAUAUUGGCUUAGUAAGAAAAAUGCUAUUUCUGUUAGAAGACUAAGGAGACUUAAGAACGAAAAAGAGUUGGAAAAAGAAGAAGACUCGCAGAAGCCAUUACUUGGUCUGUGAAUCUUCAUCGACAUUGCGCAAACACUCAUAAAUAUAGCUAUACCCUCAGCUAUUCCAAUACAGAAUGAGCAGGUCUUUUCUUCAUUGUACCAAGCUGUCCUCUCAUUUUACUCCUUUGGCUUGUCUUCAUUCUAUCAAGCUGCCCUCUCACUUCACGCAGCUCCUUAUCCUACCUAAUUUCAGAAAUAGGGAUCCCUUUAGCUGACUGGUUACACUAGAUAGAUAGAGAAAAGGAAGCAGAAACAAUGAGUUUUCUUCAAUUCCUACUGCUGUUCUUAGUGGUGGAGCUUGCCGGAAUUGCAGCAACUCCCUCAACAACUCUUGCCAAGCCCGGUUGCCCCCACCGCUGUGGCAAUCUUACCAUUCUUUAUCCGUUCGGCACCCGCAAGAGCUGUUCCCUAAAUGACUCAUUCCUGAUCACAUCAGAUCGAUCCAAACCAUUUUUAGCCAACAAACACUUACCUGUUCUUGAUUGGCAUGCACCUUCCCAGGUAGAGACUCGCAACUGUCCAUCCAUCAAGUGAGAUGCUGGCAUGCACCUUCCCAGGUAAUAGACUCGCAACUGGCCAUCAAGUGAGAUGCUAAAAAUAGGUAAGUGUUUAUUGGCUAAAAAUGGUUUGGAUCGAUCUGAUGUGAUCAGGAAGGAGUCAUUUAGGGAACAGUUCUUGUGUGUGCCGAACGCGUAAAGCAUGGUAAGAUUGCCAUAGUAGGGGGCAUCCUGGCUUGGCAAGAGUUGUUAAAGGAGUUGCUGCAAUUCCGGCAAGCUCCACCACUAAGAACAGUUGUAGGAAUUGAAGAAAACUCAUUGUUUCUGCUUCCUCCUCUCUAUCUAGUGCAACCAGUCAGCUAAAGGGAUCCCUAUUUCUAAAAUUAGGUAGGAUAGGGGGCUGCGUGAAGUUAGCAGUUGAACAAUCUGAAAGAUACAAGUUAGCAGUUGCAGAAAGUUAGCAGUUGCAGAGAGAGAGGGGGGCAAGCUUGAGAGUUGAGAGACAUCGGCUGAAGCUUGCGAAUGGCGAACCUGAACUGGAACAGCGGGCAAUGGAAACUGAAAGAUAUGGGUUUUGAUUUUUUGAACAAUCUGAAAUGAUAUGCCCAUAUGGGUUUUGAACUUUUGAUUCUUGCAGACAGAUAAACUGAAAUAUAUGGGUUUUGAACUUCUGAUUCUUGUAGAUUUUCUAGCUUGCAGUGAGAGAGAGAGAGAAGGCAAGUUCAGAGUUGAGAACGAGAAUAGAGAUGGAGGCGAUUGGAGAGGCUGAAAUGAUAUGCUGAUAUGGGUUUUGAUAUAGAUUUUCUAGUUUGCAGUUGCACACAGAGAGG